rnacentral:rRNA from 1 species
AUACGUAGGGGGCUAGCGUUAUCCGGAUUUAUUGGGUUUAAAGGGUGCGCAGGCGGCCAUUUAAGUCAGCGGUUAAAUCGUGGGGCUCAACCCCAUUCUGCCGUUGAUACUGGGUGGCUUGAUUGCGGUCGAGGUUGGCGGAAUUCGUUGUGUAGCGGUGAAAUGCAUAGAUAUGACGAAGAACACCGAUUGCGUAGGCAGCUGACCAGACCGCAAAUGACGCUCAUGCACGAAAGUGCGGGGAUCGAACAGGAUUAGAUACCCUGGUAGUCCGCACAGUAAACGAUGAAUACUUGUUUUCGGCGAUAUAAUGUCGGAGGCAAAGCGAAAGCGAUAAGUAUUCCACCUGGGGAGUACGCCGGCAACGGUGAAACUCAAAUGAAUUGACGGG